rnacentral:rRNA from 1 species
AGAGUUUGAUCCUGGCUCAGGAUGAACGCUGGCGGCGUGCCUAACACAUGCAAGUCGAGCGAAGCGCUUAAGUCAGAAUCUUCGGAGGAAGGCUUUUGUGACUGAGCGGCGGACGGGUGAGUAACGCGUGGGUAACCUGCCUUACACAGGGGGAUAACAGUGAGAAAUCAUUGCUAAUACCGCAUAUGCCAUAAUUACCACAUGGUGAUAGUGGGAAAGGAGAAAUCCGCUGAUAGAUGGGCUUGCGUCUGAUUAGAUAGUUGGUGGGGUAACGGCCUACCAAGUCGACGAUCAGUAGCCGAACUGAGAGGUUGAACGGCCACAUUGGGACUGAGAUACGGCCCAGACUCCUACGGGAGGCAGCAGUCGGGAAUAUUGCACAAUGGAGGAAACUCUGAUGCAGUGACGCCGCGUGCAGGAAGAAGGUUUUCGGAUUGUAAACUGCUUUAGACAGGGAAGAAAAAAGACAGUACCUGUAGAAUAAGCUCCGGCUAACUACGUGCCAGCAGCCGCGGUAAUACGUAGGGAGCAAGCGUUAUCCGGAUUUAUUGGGUGUAAAGGGUGCGUAGACGGGUUAACAAGUUAGUUGUGAAAUCCCUCGGCUUAACUGAGGAACUGCAACUAAAACUAUUAAUCUUGAGUGCGGGAGAGGAAAGUGGAAUUCCUAGUGUAGCGGUGAAAUGCGUAGAUAUUAGGAGGAACACCAGUGGCGAAGGCGACUUUCUGGACCGUAACUGACGUUGAGGCACGAAAGUGUGGGGAGCAAACAGGAUUAGAUACCCUGGUAGUCCACACUGUAAACGAUGGAUACUAGGUGUAGGGGUUAUUAAGACUUCUGUGCCGUCGCAAACGCAGUAAGUAUCCCACCUGGGGAGUACGACCGCAAGGUUGAAACUCAAAGGAAUUGACGGGGGCCCGCACAAGCAGUGGAGUAUGUGGUUUAAUUCGAAGCAACGCGAAGAACCUUACCAGGGCUUGACAUAUACAGUAAUAUACUAGAGAUAGUAUAGCUCUUCGGAGACUGUAUACAGGUGGUGCAUGGUUGUCGUCAGCUCGUGUCGUGAGAUGUUGGGUUAAGUCCCGCAACGAGCGCAACCCCUGUUUCUAGUUGCCAGCGCGUAAUGGUGGGAACUCUAGAAAGACUGCCGGUGAUAAAUCGGAGGAAGGUGGGGACGACGUCAAAUCAUCAUGCCCUUUAUGUCCUGGGCUACACACGUACUACAAUGGCUAUAACAAAGAGAAGCGAAGCAGUGAUGUGGAGCGAAACUCAAAAAAAUAGUCUCAGUUCGGAUUGAAGGCUGAAAUUCGCCUUCAUGAAGCCGGAAUUGCUAGUAAUGGCAGGUCAGCAUACUGCCGUGAAUACGUUCCCGGGCCUUGUACACACCGCCCGUCACACCAUGAGAGUUGGGAAUACCCGAAGCCUGUGAGCUAACUUAUAGAGGCAGCAGUCGAAGGUAGAAUCAAUGAUUGGGGUGAAGUCGUAACAAGGUAACC